UACGUAGGGUGCGAGCGUUAAUCGGAAUUACUGGCGUAAAGCGUGCGCAGGCGGUUAUAUAAGACAGAUGUGAAAUCCCCCGGGCUCAACCUGGGACCUGCAUUUGUGACUGUAUAGCUAGAGUGCGGUAGAGGGGGAUGGAAUUCCGCGUGUAGCAGUGAAAUGCGUAGAUAUGCGGAGGAACACCGAUGGCGAAGGCAAUCCCCUGGACCUGUACUGACGCUCAUGCACGAAAGCGUGGGGAGCAAACAGG
rnacentral:rRNA from 1 species